GUGAGGAAUAUUGCACAAUGGGCGCAAGCCUGAUGCAGCGACGCCGCGUGGGUGAUGAAGGUCUUCGGAUCGUAAAGCCCUUUUCUGCGUGACGAGACAGGACGGUAGCGCAGGAAUAAGUCUCGGCUAACUACGUGCCAGCAGCCGCGGUAAAACGUAGGAGACGAACGUUAUCCGGAGUUACUGGGCGUAAAGGGCGUGUAGGCGGUUUGUUAAGUCUGGCGUGAAAGCUCUCGGCUAAACCGGGAGAGGUCGUUGGAUACUGGCAAACUUGAGGAUGGUAGAGGCGUGUGGAAUUCCGGGUGUAGUGGUGAAAUGCGUAGAGAUCCGGAGGAACACCAGUGGCGAAGGCGACACGCUGGGCCAUACCUGACGCUAAAGCGCGACAGCAUGGGGAGCAAACGGGAUUAGAUACCCGGGUAGUCC
rnacentral:rRNA from 1 species